rnacentral:rRNA from 1 species
UACGUAGGUGGCAAGCGUUGUCCGGAUUUACUGGGCGUAAAGAGCGCGCAGGCGGUUGAAUAAGUCGAAUGUGAAAGCCCCCGGCUCAACUGGGGAGGGUCAUUCGAUACUGUUCGACUCGAAGGCAGGAGAGGGAAGCGGAAUUCCCGGUGUAGUGGUGAAAUGCGUAGAUAUCGGGAGGAACACCAGUGGCGAAGGCGGCUUGCUGGCCUGUUCUUGACGCUGAGGCGCGAAAGCCAGGGGAGCAAACGGG